rnacentral:rRNA from 1 species
AACGCUAGCUACAGGCUUAACACAUGCAAGUCGAGGGGCAGCAUUGUAGUAGCAAUACUUCAGAUGGCGACCGGCGCACGGGUGAGUAACACGUAUCCAACCUGCCGCUUACUCGGGGAUAGCCUUUCGAAAGAAAGAUUAAUACCCGAUAGUAUAUUUUCUUCGCAUGUUGAAAAUAUUAAAGAAUUUCGGUUAUCGAUGGGGAUGCGUUCCAUUAGGCAGUUGGCGGGGUAACGGCCCACCAAACCUACGAUGGAUAGGGGUUCUGAGAGGAAGGUCCCCCACAUUGGAACUGAGACACGGUCCAAACUCCUACGGGAGGCAGCAGUGAGGAAUAUUGGUCAAUGGACGAAGGUCUGAACCAGCCAAGUAGCGUGAAGGAUGACUGCCCUAUGGGUUGUAAACUUCUUUUAUAUGGGAAUAAAGUUCUCCACGUGUGGAGUUUUGUAUGUACCAUUAUGAAUAAGCAUCGGCUAACUCCGUGCCAGCAGCCGCGGUAAUACGGAGGAUGCGAGCGUUAUCCGGAUUUAUUGGGUUUAAAGGGAGCGUAGGUGGACUGGUAAGUCAGUUGUGAAAGUUUGCGGCUCAACCGUAAAAUUGCAGUUGAUACUGUCAGUCUUGAGUACAGUAGAGGUGGGCGGAAUUCGUGGUGUAGCGGUGAAAUGCUUAGAUAUCACGAAGAACUCCGAUUG